UAGGUAACCUGCCUUGUAGCGGGGGAUAACUAUUGGAAACGAUAGCUAAUACCGCAUAACAAUGGAUGACACAUGUCAUUUAUUUGAAAGGGGCAAUUGCUCCACUACAAGAUGGACCUGCGUUGUAUUAGCUAGUAAGUGAGGUAAUGGCUCACCUAGGCGACGAUACAUAGCCGACCUGAGAGGGUGAUCGGCCACACUGGGACUGAGACACGGCCCAGACUCCUACGGGAGGCAGCAUG
rnacentral:rRNA from 1 species